GUGUGCUGCUGAAGCCCGCGAAGGAGGCGCUCCGGCCCACGAGCCCCACAGCCCCUGUGUCCCCAGGGGACAGGAACCGCAACCUCACCGACAUGAUGGUCACCUGCAAGGAGAGGACAGGAGAGUCAGCCCGGCACCACCAUCCAGCGAGUGCUGUCCGCAGAUACUCCUCUCCCCUCCUCCAGCCCUCCCUGAGCACCUAACACAGGUGAACUCUGCAAGGCAGGCCAAGUCCCCCUAUCCUCAAGGGCCGAACAGUGAUGAUACAGUCUGUGUUGGAGUGAUGGGGGUCCCCAGAGGGCAUCUGACCCAGCUGUGAAGAGGCGCCCAAGAGGGUGGUGUCAAUCCAAGGAUUCCAGGGACCCCACUGCCCAGACGAAACCUAUGAAAAAGCUCCAGUCCACCUAGGCCCUCGUCUUCCUGCACGAUGAGACCCCCAUGUUCCAACAUCUCUUUUCCCCAGGGGCCAAGUCCACCCUGCCACACCUCUGCUCACUUGGGGGCCUCUGCCUGGUAAAAUUUCCUCUAUCGAGCCACAUCUGCCCAGCAUCUACUACUGCAUCUCCUGGCAGAUCUGUGCAGCCUCCACAAGCCUCCUCCCAUAUAUCCCCCACCCCACAGCCCCACAUGUGCUGUACACAGGAAAGCUUGGCAACAAAGAAGGUGGACCUGAGCUCAAAUCCCAGCUGUGCCACUCAGGCUCUGGGCCUCAGUGAUCACAACAGUAAAAUGGGAAUUCAGAAAGGACCUCCCAUGGAGACUGCUGGAAGGACCAAGGAGAGCACGUCCUGAGACCCCACAGUGUGCAAGAGACAUGUCAGAAGGGCUGGCGCUCUCUGUGCAAUUGGCUAAGACCCCAGCCCUGCAGGUGAGCCAGGUGACCCAGAUGAGCCAGAGGACUCAGGGAGAGCCAAAUGAGAAGUAAGCAGCUUCUAGCCCUGGUGGAGGAAGGUGGCAAGCAUUUACUGACCACUCGCUGUGUGGCAAGCCUGGUGCCCCGUGAGUGGCUACGAAUCCAUGAACAGCUAUGAACUCAUGACUAGCAGCGUUGUGUACAGAUGGGGAAGUUGAGGCAUCAUUCACCAAGUGCUCAUUACUCAUUACUAAGCUGGCCCUGCACUAAAUGCUUUAUGUAAAUUAUGAAAUCCACACAACCCUCUUAAGAGCAGGAGCUUUUGAUGACCUAAUUCCAUAGAUGAGGAAACUGAGGCUCAGAGAAGUGAUGAGACUAGCCCAGGGGCCCCAGCAGGGCACCUGACCACUGGGUUUAGAACCUGAGGAUGCCCGAUGUCAGAGCUUGUCUUACCUGCAGUCAGGAGUGCCUUGCACUGGGGCCUUGCAACGCCCCCCCCAAUAAACAGGUCUCCCACAGUCCCCUCCUGUGCUGUGCUGUGCUGAGCCAGCUUGUACCAGCUCACAAGAGUCAACUGGGCCAGGAACAGUGGCUCACACCUGUAAUCCUAGCACUUUGGGAGGCCGAAGCAAGCAGAUUGCCUGUGCUCAGGAGUUCAAGACCAGCCUGGGCUACGUGGUGAAAUGCUGUCUA